rnacentral:rRNA from 1 species
AACGCGAAGAACCUUACCAGGGCUUGACAUGGGGUCGCCGUGUCCAGAGAUGGGCAUUCCCGCAAGGGCGACCUGCACAGGUGCUGCAUGGCUGUCGUCAGCUCGUGUCGUGAGAUGUUGGGUUAAGUCCCGCAACGAGCGCAACCCUUGCCUUCAGUUGCCAUCAGGUUUGGCUGGGCACUCUGAAGGAACUGCCGGUGACAAGCCGGAGGAAGGUGGGGAUGACGUCAAGUCCUCAUGGCCCUUAUGUCCUGGGCUACACACGUGCUACAAUGGCGGUGACAAUGGGAAGCCAGGUCGCGAGGCCGAGCCGAUCCUAAAAAGCCGUCUCAGUUCAGAUUGCACUCUGCAACUCGGGUGCAUGAAGGUGGAAUCGCUAGUAAUCGUGGAUCAGCAUGCCACGGUGAAUACGUUCCCGGGCCUUGUACACACCGCGCAUA